UUUAUUCGUCCAAAAUAAUAAGAAUGCUUCUCUGCCCUAUUUGGACACAUAUUUUUUGGAACGCUUACUCAGGCCACGCCCAGCAACAGGAAUUUGGGUUUGCUGGUUGGUACUUGAUCUCGCCCCCUCCUAACAGGACAGUGCGAAACUUUGAGGAGUCUCUGGAGUUCUGACCCAAGAAGCCUCUCCCCAGCCGAUAAAAGGAGAUCUCCAUGGUGACCGAGAUUGCUUGGAAUGCUGGGAGGGAAUGGAAUUUCUGAGGCUCUUGUCCUGUUCAACACUCUCCAGGUACCUGACAAAGAAGGUGCCAGUUAUGUAUUGGGCAAAAGGGGCCAAUGAUCGGACACAUUCCGGGCAUAGCUGAGAAUCGCCUCCUCCUCCCGGUCAACGCCUCCUCCUCCCGGUCAACGCCAAAGUUCAGCUCGAGGAGAAGUUGGAGGCUUUAUACAGAGGGAUCGUCAGCAGAUUAUCUGAGAUACACGAAGAAUCAGAAGAAUCCCAUCCAGGAGUAAAAUGAUGAAGCGGCGAUAAUGGUCUGACAUCAAUAUUACAGCAGGAGGAGGAUAACUACAGAUGUGAUCAUCACAAGGAGGAACGUUGUGUGAAAUGACCGAGACCAUUUAUGUGUCAAAAGUAAAGGGCAAAGGGUUUAUAGGCCGAAAAGUGGAGCAAGACCAGACACAAAGCUGCUGGAAAGCCGAGGAACCAGCCCCAGCCCUCUGGAUGUGAAGACAAAUUCGACUCCGAAUAAUGUCCCUCGCAUCUUCACAGGCUUCAAUAUGAAGAUCAAAAACAUCACAAGAGAAGCUGUGGGGCUCCUGACUAGCGGAGAGUAGAGUUACGCUUUCCCUGCACCCUGACUACCCUUCUACUUACCACCAUCCCCACCAAUAACCACAGACUCUUCGUAUUGUGCAAAGGCCACAGGGGACCAACCGUUUUAUUAACAAAAUAACAAUUAUAUAACAUUUUACUCUUAACCCCUUAAUGACCAAGCCCAUUUUCACCUCAAGGACCAGGCCAAUUUUUUUUUUUUGCGUCUUCGUUUUUUUCCUCCUUGCCUGUUUUUUCCAUCUACAGACCCAUAUAAGGGCUUGUUUUUUGCGUGACCAAUUGUACUUUGUAAUGAAACCUCUCAUUUUACCAUAAAAUGUGCGGCGAACCCCCCCCCCAAAAAAAUUUUUAGGGAAGAAAAUUUAAAUGGAAACCAAAAUUUUGCACAUUUUGGAGGGUUUUGUUUUCACACCGUACACUUUACGGUAAAAAUGACACGUGUUCUUUAUUCUGUGGGUCAAUACGAUUAAAAUGAUACCCAUGGGUAGAUACUUUUAUAUUUCUGUACCGCUUAAAAAAAAUCUAAAACUUUUUGUACAAAAUCAGUAAUCUAAAAUCGCCCUAUUUUAGCACCUAUAACUUUUUCAUUUUUCCGUAUAUAGGGCGGUAUGAGGGCUCAUUUUUAGCGCCGUCAUCUGUACUUUUUUUUAGAUACCACAUUUGCAUAUAUAAAACUUUUAGAUCAUUUUUUAUAAAUUUUUUUUUAAUAAAAUGUGUGACAAAAAAGCAGCAUUUUUGGAAUUUUAAUUUUUUUUACGUUUACGC